rnacentral:rRNA from 1 species
UGAGUAACCUGCCCUUAACUCUGGGAUAAGCCUGGGAAACUGGGUCUGAUACCGGAUAUGACUCUUCAUCGCAUGGUGGGGGGUGGAAAGCUUUAUUGUGGUUCUGGAUGGACUCGCGGCCUAUCAGCUUGUUGGUGAGGUAAUGGCUCACCAAGGCGACGACGGGUAGCCGGCCUGAGAGGGCGACCGGCCACACUGGGACUGAGACACGGCCCAGGCUCCUACGGGAGNAG